AAUACAAGGCAGACGGCUCAGUAACGCGUAGUCAACCUACCCUAUGGACGGGGAUAACCUCGGGAAACUGAGAAUAAUACCCGAUAGAACACUAUACCUGGAAUGGUUUGUGUUCCAAAUAAUUUAUUGCCGUAGGAUGGGACUGCGGCCUAUCAGUUUGUUGGUGAGGUAAUGGCCCACCAAGACUAUUACAGGUACGGGCUCUGAGAGGAGUGGCCCGGAGAUGGGUACUGAGACACGGACCCAGGCCCUAUGGGGCGCAGCAGGCGAGAAAACUUUGCAAUGUACGAAAGCACGACAAGGUUAAUCCGAGUGGUUUCUGCUAAAGGAACCUUUUGACAGUCCUAGAAACACUGUUGAAUAAGGGGUGGGCAAGUUCUGGUGUCAGCCGCCGCG
rnacentral:rRNA from 1 species